AUUUAUUUGUACAUAUAUGUCUUAUUUGUACAUAUAGUAAUAAUUAAAAGAAGAAAAUUGCUUAAAGUCAAGAUAUUCGAUUUGUGAAAGAAAGAGUUUGAAAAUGGAGUUCGAGGAGAUGGCCAAUUUUUUGAUAAGCAGAGCCGGUUUGAAGCACGUUUGGGCUCAUGCUUGAACUUCAAGAGAACCUCUCAUUGAUUUUUAAGCAAUGUCUAUUGUUCAGUUUGGUGGUUAGUUGAGUUUGGCAUUAGGUAGUGUUAUUAGAUCUUUUGUUUGUUUUAAAGUUGUAGCAAAUGAGUUUCACUACCCCAAAGAAAUAGUGAUUUAUCUAGCUAGGAAGCCAUAAUUUCUUAUUAGUUCUGCGUUUUAUCAUUUAUCUAAGGCCCAUUUUGAAAGAAAUAAAAAAAGGAAUAAACUUUGCUAACAAUACUUGUAUUUCACUUUAUGAUAGGAUGAAUAGAUUUGUUGAUUUCUAAUGGAUUUGUGAGUUAUAUG
rnacentral:misc_RNA from 1 species